AUGUUGACCGUUUAGGUCGUGGAAAGAGAAAGAAAAUUAGUUCUAUAAGAUCAUUGUUUUAAACUGCAGGUGUUGAAGUAGAUGAAUCAUUGGCCUCAAAGUCGGUUAUAGUUUUGAAAACAUUGCUCAGGAAAUGAAAAAACCACCAUCCAGAUCAUUAACGACUAAUGGAAAUCAUUACAAUUAAAAUAAUUCUAUCAUCACAUAUAACAAUCUGACUAAUGGUAUUGAUGAAAAUCUAUUCAAAUUCCAUAUGAUUCUGGUCUUAGUAAUUAUCCUACUUCAUAUGUUGAUAUGGAUAGUAAUAAUUUAACUGCUACAACAGUUACUUCUACUAUUUUGCCUGUAUUAAAUACCGUUAGUGACAUAUCUAUCCAAGGAAAAAAAUGUUCAUCUGAUCACUCUAGUCUUAAUAUUACAUUUUCAAUCACAGAAUUUUGAUAUGUGGAAACGUGAAAUGGUAUGUAAAUUGCAUGUAAAUGAAAGUAAUUUUAUUAUUACCAUCAUAAACAAGCAAACCAUGUUGGAGAACUAUAGCUAUUGGUAGUAAUUACAUUUACCUCAAUUUUUAA